rnacentral:rRNA from 1 species
GACAGUACACCCGGAAUAAGGUACGGCUAACUACGUGCCAGCAGCCGCGGUAAAACGUAGGUACCGAGCGUUAUCCGGAUUUACUGGGCGUAAAGCGCGUUCAGGCGGUUUGGCAAGUCGGGCAUGAAAUCUCUCGGCUCAACCGGGAGAGGUUGUCCGAUACUGCUGGACUUGAGGGCAGUAGAGGGUGGUGGAAUUCCGGGUGUAGUGGUGAAAUGCGUAGAUAUCCGGAGGAACACCAGUGGCGAAAGCGGCCACCUGGACUGUACCUGACGCUGACACGCGAAAGCUAGGGGAGCGAGCGGGAUUAGAAACCCCGGUAGUCCUAGCUAUAAACGAUGUUGACUAGGUGUCGACGGUCUAAACCCCGCCGGUGCCGGAGCCAGCGCAUUAAGUCAACCGCCUGGGGACUACGGCCGCAAGGUUAAAACUCAAAGGAAUUGACGGGGACCCGCACAAGCAGCGGAGCGUGUGGUUUAACUCGAGGCUACGCGAAGAACCUUACCAGGGAUUGACAUGACGGUAGUAGUGAAGCGAAAGCGGAACGACCCUUCGGGGAGCCGUCACAGGUGAUGCAUGGCUGUCGUCAGCUCGUGCCGUGAGGUGUUUGGUUAAGUCCACUAACGAGCGCAACCCUUAGCCCCAGUUAUACGUGUCUGGUGCGACUGCCGGUAUUAAGCCGGAGGAAGGUGGGGAUGACGUCAAGUCAGCAUGUCCUUUAUACCCUGGGCGACACACACGCUACAAUGGCCAGUACAGUGGGUUGCCAAGCCGCGAGGCGGAGCCAAUCCUAAAAAGCUGGUCUCAGUUCGGAUUGCAGGCUGCAACCCGCCUGCAUGAAGUCGGAGUUGCUAGUAACCGCAGGACAGCUAUACUGCGGUGAAUACGUUCCCGGGUCUUGUACACACCGCCCGUCACGUCAUGGGAGCUGGCAACACCUGAAGCCGGUGAGCCAACCGCAAGGACGCAGCCGUCGAAGGUGGGGUCGGUGACUGGGACGAAGUCGUAACAAGGUAGCCGUA